GGAGAGGUGCCAGAGCGGUCGAAUGGGGCGGUCUCGAAAACCGUUGUGCCCUUUUAGGGUACCGAGGGUUCGAAUCCCUCCCUCUCCG
rnacentral:tRNA from 1 species